rnacentral:misc_RNA from 1 species
CUUGUGCUUCACCGAUUGAUUUCCAGUUUCUGAACAGCAAACAUUCAGUUUGAAACAUUGAAUAUUCAAUGGAAUUGAAAAACGCAUUUGUUCCAGUAAAAAAAACAACAUAUUCCGCACGCGUUUUCCAAACCGCCUUCAACCCACCAACUUUUUUUUGCAGUUAUACCUAGGGGGCGGGCGCCCAGGAAGUGGGACAGAGCCAUUCAUGCACUGUUGGGUUGAAGCCCAAUGGUGGCUGAGUGGAUGUCCGUUGGUGCACUGCACAUGUAUGCGUCUUGUUGGGUUACUGAGUAAUGUGCAUGACAUUGUUUGCAUGCAAAUGUAUUGGCUGAGCUAUAUUACUUAAGCAUCAGCUGGGUGGUAGUUUGUGGAAAUGUGUCACAGGUUGAACAGUUGGAAUCUUUGAAUGUCUGAUGAAGCAAAGCAAUGAAUACUUAAGGGGUAUGAUGCAUAAAGCAUUACGUCUGUGUACAUGCUUGCAGUUGUGAA